rnacentral:rRNA from 1 species
UACGAAGGGGGCGAGCGUUGUUCGGAAUUACUGGGCGUAAAGGGCGCGCAGGCGGCCCUGAAAGUCAGAUGUGAAAGCCCCGGGCUUAACCUGGGAAUUGCAUUUGAUACUCUGGAGCUUGAGUACGGGAGAGGAGAGUGGAAUUCCCAGUGUAGAGGUGAAAUUCGUAGAUAUUGGGAAGAACACCGGUGGCGAAGGCGGCUCUCUGGACCGUAACUGACGCUGAGGCGCGAAAGCAUGGGGAGCCGAACAGG